CCUACGGGAGGCAGCAGUCGAGAAUCAUUCACAAUGGGGGAAACCCUGAUGGUGCGACGCCGCGUGGGGGAAUGAAGGCCUUCGGAUUGUAAACCCCUGUUACGUGGGGGCAAACUAAAAAGAUAGUACCCCAAGAGGAAGAGCCGGCGAACUCUGUGCCAGCAGCCGCGGUAAUACAGGGGGCUAAAGCGUUGUUCGGAAGAACUGGGCGUAAAGCGUGCGUAGGCUGUUUCGUAAGGCGUGUGUGAAAGGCGCGGGCCAAACCCCCGGAGGGCCGAUGAUACUGCGAGACUAGAGUAAUGGAGGGGGAACCGGAAUGCUCGGUGUAGCGGUGAAAUGCGUAGAUAUCGAGAGGAACACUCGUGGCGAAGGCAGGUUCCUGGACAUUAACUGACGCUGAGGCACGAAGGCCAGGGGAGCGAAAGGGAUUAGAUACCCGAGUAGUC
rnacentral:rRNA from 1 species